GGGUAGAGCAGUUGGUAGCUCGUCGGGCUCAUAACCCGGAGGCCGCAGGUUCAAAUCCUGUCCCC
rnacentral:tRNA from 2 species